rnacentral:rRNA from 1 species
UACGUAGGGUGCAAGCGUUAAUCGGAAUUACUGGGUUUAAAGGGUGCGUAGGUGGGCAGGUAAGUCAGUGGUGAAAUCUCCGGGCUUAACCCGGAAACUGCCAUUGAUACUAUUUGUCUUGAAUACCGUGGAGGUCAGCGGAAUAUGUCAUGUAGCGGUGAAAUGCUUAGAUAUGACAUAGAACACCAAUUGCGAAGGCAGCUGGCUACACGAAUAUUGACACUGAUGCACGAAAGCGUGGGGAUCAAACAGG